rnacentral:rRNA from 1 species
GUUAAGUGGAAAAGGAUGUGGGGUUGCUUAGACAACCAGGAUGUUGGCUUAGAAGCAGCCACCAUUGAAAGAGUGCGUAAUAGCUCACUGGUCGAGUGACCCCGCGCCGAAAAUGUACCGGGGCUAAACAUAUUACCGAAACUGUGGAUGAACCUCUUUAGAGGUUCGUGGUAGGAGAGCGUUCUAAGGGCGGUGAAGUCAGACCGGAAGGACUGGUGGAGCGCUUAGAAGUGAGAAUGCCGGUAUGAGUAGCGAAAGAAGGGUGAGAAUCCCUUCCACCGAAUAUCUAAGGUUUCCUGAGGAAGGCUCGUCCGCUCAGGGUUAGUCGGGACCUAAGCCGAGGCCGAUAGGCGUAGGCGAUGGACAACAGGUAGAGAUUCCUGUACCAGUGCUAAUUGUUUAACCGAUGGGGUGACACAGAAGGAUAGGGAAUCGCACGAAUGGAAAUGUGCGUCCAAGCAGUGAGUGUGAGAAGUAGGCAAAUCCGCUUCUCGCGAAGCAUGAGCUGUGAUGGGGAAGGAAAUUAAGUACGGAAGUUCCUGAUUUCACGCUGUCAAGAAAAGCCUCUAGGAAGAGUAGUACUGCCCGUACCGCAAACCGACACAGGUAGAUGAGGAGAGAAUCCUAAGGUGAGCGAGAGAACUCUCGUUAAGGAACUCGGCAAAAUGACCCCGUAACUUCGGGAGAAGGGGUGCUCUAUUAGGGUGCAAGCCCGAGAGAGCCGCAGUGAAUAGGCCCAGGCGACUGUUUAGCAAAAACACAGGUCUCUGCAAAACCGUAAGGUGACGUAUAGGGGCUGACGCCUGCCCGGUGCUGGAAGGUUAAGAGGAGUGCUUAGCUUCGGCGAAGGUACGAAUUGAAGCCCCAGUAAACGGCGGCCGUAACUAUAACGGUCCUAAGGUAGCGAAAUUCCUUGUCGGGUAAGUUCCGACCCGCACGAAAGGCGCAACGAUCUGGGCACUGUCUCAACGAGAGACUCGGUGAAAUUAUAGUACCUGUGAAGAUGCAGGUUACCCGCGACAGGACGGAAAGACCCCGUGGAGCUUUACUGCAACCUGAUAUGGAAUGUUUGUACCGCUUGUACAGGAUAGGUAGGAGCCGAAGAGACGUGUGCGCUAGCAUACGAGGAGGCAAUGGUGGGAUACUACCCUGGCUGUAUGACCAUUCUAACCCGCCACGCUUAGCGCGUGGGGAGACAGUGUCAGGUGGGCAGUUUGACUGGGGCGGUCGCCUCCUAAAGAGUAACGGAGGCGCCCAAAGGUUCCCUCAGAAUGGAUGGAAAUCAUUCGCAGAGUGUAAAGGCACAAGGGAGCUUGACUGCGAGACUGACAAGUCGAGCAGGGACGAAAGUCGGGCUUAGUGAUCCGGUGGUUCCGCAUGGAAGGGCCAUCGCUCAACGGAUAAAAGCUACCCCGGGGAUAACAGGCUUAUCUCCCCCAAGAGUCCACAUCGACGGGGAGGUUUGGCACCUCGAUGUCGGCUCGUCGCAUCCUGGGGCUGUAGUCGGUCCCAAGGGUUGGGCUGUUCGCCCAUUAAAGCGGCACGCGAGCUGGGUUCAGAACGUCGUGAGACAGUUCGGUCCCUAUCCGUCGCGGGCGCAGGAAAUUUGAGAGGAGCUGUCCUUAGUACGAGAGGACCGGGAUGGACACACCGCUGGUGUACCAGUUGUUCCGCCAGGAGCAUCGCUGGGUAGCUAUGUGUGGCAGGGAUAAACGCUGAAAGCAUCUAAGCGUGAAGCCCCCCUCAAGAUGAGAUUUCCCAUUUCUUCGGAAAGUAAGAUCCCUGAAAGAUGAUCAGGUAGAUAGGUUUGGAGUGGAAGUGUAGCGAUACAUGGAGCGGACAAAUACUAAUCGAUCGAGGACUUAACCAAAA